rnacentral:rRNA from 1 species
AUUGAACGCUAGCGGGAUGCUUUACACAUGCAAGUCGAACGAGUGGCGGACGGGUGAGUAAUAUAUCGGAACGUGCCCCGUAGCGGGGGAUAACUACUCGAAAGAGUGGCUAAUAACGCCUACUCUUGGAGCGGCCGAUCUCGGAUUAGCUAGUUGGUGGGGUAAAGUCUCACCAAGGCAACGAUCCGUCGCUGGUUUGAGAGGACGCCCGGCCACACUGGAACUGAGAAACGGCCCAGACUCCUACGGGAGGCAGCAGUGGGGAAUUUUGGACAAGGGGGUAAACCCUGAUCCAGCCAUCCCGCGUGUAUGAGAAGGCCUUCGGGUUGUAAAGUACUUUUGGCAGAGAAGCGGUAUCUGCAGAAUAAGCACCGGCUAACUACGUGCCAGCAGCCGCGGUAAUAC